rnacentral:rRNA from 1 species
AUGAGGCCUGGCAUGGGCGGAAGCCGGCGGUCUCCCAUUUGCGGGUCUUUGGCUGUCUUGCGUUCGCUAAGGAGCUUGGCCAGAUUGGCAAGCUCGACGACAGGAGCACUCCGGGAGUCUUCAUCGGCUACGCGGAGGGCUCAAAAGGCCUACCGCAUCCUCGACCCAAAGACACAGCGUGUGCGCACGACGCGAGACGUCGUGUUCAACGAAGGGCGAGGGUGGCAAUGGGACAAGGCGGUGGACGACGGCGCGACGCCGACGUAUGACGACUUCAUUGUCGAGUGCCCUCACUUCAAGGAAGCCGGGGGAGCAAGCAGCUCCUCUCCGCCGGGCACGUCUACCCCGGCCCCCAAAACUACAUCGACUCCGGUGCCCGCUACGCCGACGGCACCACAACUGGCGACGCCGCAUACUCCAGCCCCGGCGGUCACCACUCCGGGUUCGUCUUCAUCAGCACCAGCUCACGCAGAGCACAACCCGAUGAAGUUCGCUUCCCCGCUCACUCACGACGAGGAGCAGGUCGACGCAUGGUAUGGAGGUGAACAGCUGCGGUAUCGCACGAUGGAUGAUCUACUCGGCAACCAGCCGGUGCCGGGACUGAUGCCAUGUGACCUGGAGGCGCAGCUACAACUCGCGUGUGAGGACGGCGAACCACGGUCCUUUGCAGAGGCCGAGAGAGAUGCGGCAUGGCGCGCCGCGAUGCAGGUGGAGAUGGAUGCGGUCGAGCAAAACCACACCUGGGAGCUCGCUGACCUCCCUCGUGGUCACCACGCAAUCACCCUUAAGUGGGUGUUCAAGCUGACGAGGGAUGGAGCUGGCGCCAUCAUCAAGCACAAGGCUCGCCUGGUGGCCCGAGGCUUCUUGCAGCAGGAAGGAGUCGACUUCGACGACGCCUUCGCUCCAGUGGCACGGAUGGAGUCCGUGCGACUUCUCCUUGCGCUAGCUGCCCAGGAGGGCUGGCAUGUCCAUCACAUGGAUGUCAAGUCGGCAUUCCUCAACGGUGACUUGAAGGAGGAAGUCUACGUGCAUCAGCCACCGGGUUUUGCGAUUCCCGGCCAGGAGGGCAAGGUACUCCGCAUGCGCAAGGCCCUCUAUGGCCUACGGCAGGCACCUAGGGCGUGGAACGCCAAGCUGGACUCCACGCUAAAGAAGAUGGGCUUCGAGCAAAGCCCGCAUGAGGCCGCUGUCUACCGACGGGGCAGUGGAGGAAAUGCCCUGCUGGUGGGCGUCUAUGUUGACGACUUGGUGAUCACCGGCACCAAAGAUGCAGAGGUGGCGGCAUUCAAGGAAGACAUGAAGGCCACCUUCCAGAUGAGUGAUCUGGGGCUCCUCUCCUUCUAUCUAGGGAUUGAGCUCACUCCGAUGGAGGAGAGGCUGAAACUGAGCCGCGACAGCACGACGGAGGAAGUGGAUGCUACGCAGUACCGACGCCUUGUGGGGAGCCUUCGCUACCUCACCCACACACGGCCGGACCUAGCAUUCUCCGUCGGCUAUGUCAGUCGGUUCAUGGAGCGACCGACGUCGGAACACCAGCAGGCAGUGAAGAGGAUCAUCCGCUACAUAGCAGGGACCCUCGACCACGGCCUCCACUACCCUAGGUGUCCGGGGGCAGCACACUUCGUCGGGUACAGCGACAGCGACCACGCCAGCGACAUCGACACCAGCAAGAGCACGAGCGGGAUCCUCCUCUUCCUCGGCAAGUGUCUCGUGAGCUGGCAAUCAGUCAAGCAGCAGGUGGUGGCCUCUAGCUGUGAGGCUGAGUACAUAGCGGCCUCCACCGCCUGCACUCAGGCGCUUUGGCUCGCUCGACUGCUUGGUGAUCUUCUCGUUCAAGACACCAGAACGGUGCAGCUCCUGGUGGACAGCAAGUCCGCGCUGGCCUUGGCAAAGAACCCCGUGUUCCACGAACGGAGCAAGCACAUCCGGCUGAGGUAUCACUUCAUCCGCAGUUGUGUGGAAGAAGGGAGCAUCGAGGCGAGCUACAUCAACACCAAGGAUCAGCUCGCAGACCUGCUCACCAAGCCUCUUGGGAGGGUCAAGUUCCUCGAGCUUUGCUCCAGGAUCGGGAUGAUUCAACACUCCCACAAGACGACAUACAAGACUUAG